AUAUUUGCUACAUUUUUUUGCCCACUGCGGUUAAAUUUAGCAAAAAUAUGAUAAACAAAAUAUGUGCGAUGGGAUUUCUGAUAUUGUAAAGAUUUAUUCAAGCAUCGACGGACUAUUACUUCCACUUUCGUGCAAGUUUCUUUUUCGUCUGUGUUCAUAUCAACAUAAACCACGCUUUAUCAUGAUACACAACGCAUCAUCAAUGGACGCACGUCUGGCUACUCACUGUGUGUGCGAAGAAAGUCAGAGGAGCAGAUCACCGGAUCAUAAAUCAAAACAGGAAGAGGACCAGGCCAAGUAUCAGGAGUGUAGAUGGAUGGCAUCGGAAUACCAUAUACGCAGCGAGGAGGAUCAUGCUACAGCCGGACUUAAUUAUCAUAAAUAAUAAAGAAAAUUUAAAUUUACUUACAGUCGAAAGAUCAUUUAGUAUUCACGUAUGAAAAUACAUGAAAUUUUGAUUGUGAAGUUAAAAAUUUGAAACUGACUUUUAAAAGUGACAGUUUAUCAGUUUUUUCGGGUGUACUUUAGAAUUUAGAUAAUGUUGGCAAGUUGGCGCGUAAUUAAAGAUGUCUCGCCGAGUGCGUCUCAUAA